rnacentral:rRNA from 1 species
CAGCCCCUCGAGUGGUGGGGAUGAUUAUUUGGCCUAAAGCGUCCGUAGCCGGCCGAGCAAGUCUUCCGUUAAAUCCAGCGUCUCAAGCGUUGGACUGCGGGAGAUACUACAUGGCUAGAGAGUGGGAGAGGUCAGCGGUAUUCUGGGGGUAGGGGCGAAAUCCUUUGAUCCCCGGAGGACCACCAGUGGCGAAGGCUGCUGACUAGAACACGUCUGACGGUCAGGGACGAAAGCUGGGGUAGCGAACCGGAUUAGAUACCCGAGUAGUCC